rnacentral:lncRNA from 1 species
UUUUUUUUUUUUUUUUGUAUUUAAGUCCAUGUUUGCAAUAACCUUUUGUUUCAAUAAGUAGUUGGCCACCAAAAAAUUAUCCAAUUUCUAUUUCAAUAAUUUAAAAUUUGUAUUAUAUUUUAAAUAUUUUUUUAGGUAUCUCAAAAUUAAUAUUUGUGUGUACAUGAGUCAUGACUCUCAAUCAAAUUAAUUUUAUAUAAUAUUUGAAUAGUAAUAGAAUUUAUGAUAAUAUUAUUUAUAUAUUAAAUCCAUCUCCAUCAUUUUUCAAAGAUGAAAGAAAAAAAUAAGGUUAAUUAUGUAAAUUUGUAGUAUGAAACAGUUACUUGAAACGGAUUAGGUUCAAAUUGGUUUGGACUUUGGGUAGAAAAUGCAUUACACAUAGAGAUUAGAAUGCAUUUUUAAUUUAAAUUUUGAAAUAACAAAAAUAUAAUAUUCUAUAAUAUUUAAAUAACAAAAGGAUUUAUGAGGAUAUUAUCAUAUAUAUACGAAAUUAACUUAUAAGAUUUUGUAGUUAAGGGGAAAAAAAUUAGGAUUAAUCAAAAAGAAUUUUUUGAAUUUAUUAUGGGGCAUUAAUUAAUAAUAUUAAUAGCUAUAGAUAACAGAUUUAAAAAAAAUGAAAGUUGUAAAUAAUGAUAAACAUAUUUGAAUGGAAUGAUUUUUAGUUCUUUUUUCUUUUUUUUUAGAAUUUGAGUGGAAUAGGGAAUGUGUUUGCUAAGAAUUUCGAUCGACUCAAUAGAUAAUAUGAGUCUCCAAGCCAUGUUUCAUAAAUCUGACAAUAUUUUGUUUUGUAAAGUGGUUGUAACCUUAGUUGAACCGAUGAUAUGUUGGAUUGAAUAUGUUCUUAAAGAUGUCUCCAACUUCUACUUGUUCUGAACGUGAGACAACAUACUGUCAUUAAUAUGAUUGACUUUAGGAUGUUUUAUUUCUGUGUCAGUCUACCUAUGCAUUCACUUACACUCAUUCCUUGUCUUUGAAGGAGGAAAGGCCUCAACAUUCAAAAUAUUUUAUUUUUUCCAAACUGAAGUGAAGUAUUUGAUAGAAGUUCUACUAUUAUGGAAGAAUUGUUAUGAAUUGCUCAUCUAUUUGAGGUUAUAAUAUAACAUACUAGUUUUUUAAAAGUAACGAAUUGAGGUUUGGGAAACGUGUUCUGUUAACUGUAGAAAUAUUUUUAUAUAUUUUUUGGUUAUUUAAAUAUAUUUUUUGGUUAUCUAAAUUUAAUGUUUCUAUCAUAAACUGGAUGUAUCUUGCAUGAAUAUAUAUAUAUUUACUAACAUGUUUGCUAGGAAAAAAUGAUUUUGGAUAUAAACAAUUUCAAAGUAAAAAAUGAAUAAAUAAUUUUUUUUCUUAUCAAGAGAUCUUGAAUAAUUUUGUCUCAAUAGCUCUUAAAUAUAAAAUACUCAUCUAGAAUUUUUUUGCCUUGAUAUCAAGAAAACUUCUCAAAUAUGAGUAAACACUUUUUUUAUUUUAUAAAAGAAGCCAGAUUCUUAAAGUAUAGACACUUUCUCUUUAAAAAGACUUUUGUAUUUGGUUAUAUCCAAAAAUUUAAAUUUUAUUUAAUUAUAAUUUUUAAAGAUAUCAAAAUUACCCAUACUUUUAAUAAAAAUAUUAUUAAAAUAAAAUAGUAAAAGUAUAAAAUGAGUGGUCCAACUCUAAAAAAUCUUAUUCUAAAAUAGAUCAUAUACCUUAAUUUGAUUGGAGGUUGUAUCAUGAGCACUACGUGGCAUUAUGGGAGGCUAGGGGGGACCACAUUGUCACUGCACAGCCUAUAGGGCCUCAUUUGGACUACCAUGCUCCGUACAUGACAUGGUAUCGUCGUAUUACACGUCGUUUUAUUACACCUAUGGAUGAUUUUGGACCUAUGCGGUACCAAGCUACUGCUUUAUCUGCCCACUUAUUGGUUUGUAUCACUUUAAUAUUAUGUACAUAUUGUGUAUAAUAUUUAUUCCAACAAAUAAUUAUAUAUCAUUUUAUGUGACAGAUUGAGACUAUGACAUCUAUCAUAUCUUGAGGAGGUCAUGCAUUGGAGGACUCUGAUACUGAUGCUUGCUGCACUGGUAUUGUUGAUAUUAUUCGUAUGACCACUGAUGUUAUGUGCAUUAUUUGGGAGGAUUAUCGUCUCUCACAUGUAGAGCAUGGAGGAGGUAGGUCACUAACUCAGUCGAUAGUUGCUCGACCACCACUUGUUCGAGGUCGGUCGACUUCUCGAGGGAGAGGUUGAUAUAGUAGUUGUUAGCCCAUCACAUCAUCAGUAUCAACAUCAUUACAAUUCCCUACCUUUUUAUUCUCACGAUUAGUACAGUCACUCAUCUCUUCAGAUGUACCAUUAGUACAACACCCUACUUCCUCAGACCCAUCAUUAGCCCAACCCUUUACCUCUUCAGACCCACCAUCAGUACAACCCUCUACCUCUUUAGACCUACCUCCAUUACAACCUCCUACCUCUUCAGACCCACCAUUAGUGCAAAUUGACACAUCUACUCAACUAGAUUUGCCGCCAGCCAUUCCGAAUGGUAGGCGGGGCCUACGUCGACCUAGAUUGCUACCUCCACCACCACCUCUAUUUCCAGCUCUAACCCCAUCACAGACAGAUGUUCUUCAUGUGUCACAUGUAGUAUGUGCUACAGUUAGAGAGGAGCGUCCAAAAAGGAAGAGAGUACCAGUUACACAUAGGUUCUCUCCUUGUGGAGGUAUGUGAGAUUAUAUAUGUUUUUUAUUUUCCACUAUAUUAAUGUUUAGUGGAUAUUUUUUGUGACUUUAAUUAAACUAUUAAAAAUUACAUUUUGUAGUACACUUUUUGUAAUUAAUUUCAUUAACUAAUUUUGUAAAAAAAUCUAUAUAUGACAACUACGACUUAAGAGUAUACUAUUAUUUCGAUAAAGAUAAAUUUGUCAUAAUACAAAUAAAUUAAUAUCUUAAAAACAACAAAUUAAAUAUUUUAAAUUAAUAAAUUAUAUAAUUUUAUAUAUUAUUUAUAUGUUAUAUAAAUUUAUUAUUUUAAGAUUAUUAAUUUAUUAAUAAAUAAAACAUUCAUUUAUAAUAUCUUCUAUGUAUUAAUUUAUGUUUGUUAAAGUAAUAUUAGAUUCUUAAGUUUAAAUAUAAAUAAUUUAUUAUUAAAGUAUAUAUUUUUAAUUUCAAUAAUAAAUUGUAAUUUAAUAGUUUUUAAUUAAAUUUGAAAGUAAAAAAAAAAAUUAUAAUUGAAAUCUCAGUUACGGCUUAAAAGUAUACUAUUAUUUCGAUAAAAAUAAAUUUAUCAUAAUACAAAUAAAUUAAUAUCUUAAAAAACAAAAAAUUAAAUAUCUUAAAUUAAUUAAUUAUACAAUUUUAUAUAUUAUUUAUAUGUUAUAUAAGUUUAUUAUUUUAAGAUUAUUAAUUUAUUAAUAAAUAAAAUAUUCAUUUAUAAUAUUUUCUAUUUAUCAAUUUAUGUUUGUUGAAGUAAUAUUAGAUUUUUAAGUUUAAAUAUAAAUAAUUUAUUAUUUAAGUAUAUUUUUUAAAUUUCAAUCAUAAAUUGUAAUUUAGUAGUUUUUAAUUAAAUUUGAAAGUAAAAAAAAAAUUAUAAUUGAAAUCUCAGUUAUCAAUUGUGGCUUAAAAGUAUACUAUUAUUUCGAUGAAUAUAAAUUUAUCAUAAUACAAAUAAAUUAAUAUCUUAAAAAACAAUAAAUUAAAUAUCUUAAAUUAAUAAAUUAUACAAUUUUAUAUAUUAUUUAUAUGUUAUAUAAGUUUAUUAUUUUAAGAUUAUUAAUUUAUUAAUAAAUAAAAUAUUCAUUUAUAAUAUCUUCUAUUUAUCAAUUUAUGUUUGUUGAAGUAAUACUAGAAUUUAAAUUUAAAUAUAAAUAAUUUAUUAUUUAAGUAUAUUUUUAAAUUUGAUUCAUAAAUUGUAAUUUUAUAAAUUUUAAAGCUUUAGUUAAAAAUGAAGCCGCGUUUGACAAAUGCGGCUUUAGUACAAAAAUGAAGUCGCAGUUACCAACUGUAGUUUUAGUUAAAAAAUGAAGCCGUAAUUGUCAAUUGCAGUUUUAAUUCAAAAAUGAAACUGCAGUUGCCAAUUGUAACUUUCACUAAAAUAAUGAAAAAAUUUUUUUUUAAUGAUAUGACGCCUACGUGUCACCAAAGAGACCAAUUUGAACAUAAGUUUCAAGAAGUGGUUACAUUUUUUUAUUUUUUUAUUUUAAAUUAGGCCAUUUUGACCCAAAACUCCAUUGUUACUAUUGUCUUACGCUCAUAUCAUUAAAGUGCUAAAGUUGAAGGAAGAUGGUCAUGGAUUCUUGGGAAUCAAAAGUAGCAUUAAAUUUUUCCAGAGCUUAAUAAAAGCAAUUAGAAAACGCCAAAAAUAAAAAACAAAAACAAAAAGUAAAAAAUUCACCUCUAUAUUCCCUUCUAUUUUUCUUUCUUAAUAUUUCCCCAACCAAGAAUACAGGUUUUCAUUUUUUUUUUCUUUUUAUGAUAUCCUCCCACCAAAGAAAAUGAAACCCGACGUCAUCAUCUAUACCUUUCCCCAACGGAGGUGCGGUACUGAUAUAUACAACUCAGCCCCACCAACACCUCCGCGAUGGCCGCCUCCGUUUUCUCCCUAUCGGAAUAGUACAAUGUCUGCAACAACAGCACGGUCGAUUUUCCCUCGAAUUUCUGUUUCUCCAGGUUCCUAUCCGUCUGCCAUUUCAACGUGUCGUGGGCCAUCGGCGCAAGCCACCUAAGGAUCUCCUUGACGGCCUCGCUCCACCCCUCCGCCAGAGACUCGUCCUCCUCCCUAAGCUGCCAACCCCUCUUUAGCUUCGCUUCUACUGAUACUUUCAGGCUAUCUGGCAACAUAUGGUACAGGUCCUCACGCGCGCCCUCCGCUAUGUUCGGCGCGUGUAGAUACCUCUCCGCCAGGAUUAUUAUGUUGGCAUAUCGCAACGCGAGCCCCGAACCCCCCAAGGUCAACGGCGGCGCCCCUUUUAAAACGCUCUUCUUUCGACCGAUUUCGUCGAAAUCGAAAUAUCCGUUUUGUUUCAAGCCGAUACCGAAACCGAUUUGGUCUGCAAAGUAGAGUUUGGAUUCUCGGUUGUAGAAGUGGACCACGCCCGAUUGGAGAGUUUUCGGGAUGGGUCCCGAUUUUGUCAUGAGUGGAUUUUCGUCAAGAAGAUGAAUCCUAAUUUUUUGUUUUGAGGACAUGCGAGGUAGAACAGCAAUGCAAGGUCUGAAAAUGUCACAGAUUCGGGCGUAGACGAUGCAGACGAUUCUGGCCAUAAGACUCACGCUUUUGUCGAAGGUUUGGCUCCAUAGAGAAACCUCUUUCAAGGUUCGGACUUGCUUUCUUUGCCAUGCAAUCUUCUGAUUGAAAAGAUCGAAGUUGGUUUUCUGCGCAACGACGCUCUUGUUCCACGUUUGUAAUUUACGCUCUGAUACUUCCAUUUCUGAAAGGGAUUCUAAGGCUGAAUACAAGCUCGACGUCGUGGAUAUGAAUUUCUUCAUCUUGUGUAUGACCUUGUCUAUCUCUUUGGAUUUGUAUUGUAUCUUCCAUAGAUCAACCAUACCAUCUUUCAGAUCAUUGUAGACGAGAUCGAAUCGGUUGAGUCCGAAAUCCACACAUUUCCGGCCCAAUCGAGAGACGGCGGAGGCGGCUCUAUCGAGCUCUUCAAGCCUCUCAACGCAGGCGAGAGUGAGGAGAAAGCCCUCGUCCUUGCAGUUCAAGUAAGAGACGCCCGGAGACCUCAUGACCUCCUUUCGGAGCUUGAAGAUCUCAUCAUCCGACAAAGAUUUGUAGAGAGAGAAGAGACGUGACAUGGUUUUAGCGGCCUCGAAGGCGAGGAUGCCGAGAGUGUUGGGCGGAGAGUCAUGGCGGGAAAGACGGCAAACGCUCUUCUUGGUGUCGGAGGUGGCAUAGCGUUUGAGGGUGGAGGACCCAGGGAAACGCUCCAUUGUGGCAACAACCAUGGCCAAAGCCUCCCUCUCUCUGGCGGUUGAUGCGGUCGUUGGGUGACAGUUAGGGUUUUAGGUGGGAGAAAUAGGUUGGGUGAAUGAGAGGUGGGGGUUGGAGGGGGACACCUUGGGACCUUCUUCAUUUGGGAUGCGUUUGGACAGUUGGAGUUGCUCAGACCAACGAACGGCGGUGACAGGUCGGUGGUGACUUUAGGACACAGAGGAAGUGGAGGAGGAGAGAGAUAUUUGAGUCUACGGUCAUGCGGGAGUUACGUUACGUCGCCCUUUGAAUUCUUUUUGAGUGAACUGUGGCCCCCGGGUUACAAGUUAUUGAAGGAAUCAUCCCCUGCCUCCUCCGCCCUUCCCCAUUACCUGCACCAUCACUUGUAUUACACCACGUCGGCAUCAGUUGGAACAUUCCCAACCAAAUUUCCAACCAACCCCCAUUCAGUCCAUUCACAGGGCCUCAUGAUUAACGACUUUUAACGACAUAACUUUACUUCUAUAUUUGCUUUUGGUCACCCACGUACUCCCACCAAAUUUGUGCGAUGCUGUGUGAAAAAAUCAAUAUUAGACAACAAGAAGAGAGAAAUUGGAUGAAAUUACUCGUUCCGUCGACUUUCUUAUCUCUAUCAGUGAAGUGAAGGUUUGCAAGUUCAAAUGCAUUGAAUUGACUCCCAGUACCCAAUAAUGUAUUUUCCCGUUGAGAUGAUAGUAAAGCAGUUUCACACUGGGGAAUGGAGGUGCCCCCUCUAUUGACUCUCUCAUAUUUAGUCACACAGUAAAUUGAAUCAGUGUGUUUUUCCAAGCAAAUCCAAGAAGGACAAAGGUACGGGAAAUUCAUUAAAAGAAUAGAGUAUUAACCUGCCAAAGGUUAAAAGAUCCUUUUACAAGAACAACGAUCAUUCAACUAUAAUAACCACCUCUCAAGACUAAUAACAACUUAACAAAAAUUAAGAAUAACAAUAAAAAACAUUCAACCACAAAAAAGACACCAAAUAUAACAUGGAAAAACCCUCUAAACCGAGUAAAAAAUCACAAAGAAAAUUUCUUCUAUUUCAAUAAAUGAGAAUACAAUAAUUAAGUUUUCAAACUUCUUCUCCUUGAAACUUAUAUAAAUAUCUUAAUACUUGAGGUAGAAAUCCAUCACCCAGGAAACAUGAACAAAAGAAAUCAAGGAGAAAACAUACCAUAAGAACUCCCAAGGGUGAUGAAAUGAAUUUAUAACUUCACCCUUGAGCCAUAAAUCUGCCAAAAAACAAACCUUGAUUUUCGUUUCUUUUCUCAAUGAAAUGCCUUUCUAUCAAUCAAAUGUCUUUCUCUCAUCGUAACAAAGUCCUGAUGCUAUUUAUAUAUAUAUAUAUAUAUAUGUCCAUAUUUGGGCUUAGAGAAUACCCAAAUAUAAAAUAGUCUAAUAUAUGGGUUCAUGGGUUGGACAAACAUAACCCAACAAUCUCCCCUUUCAGCACAUGAGGGAGAAAUGUCAAUCCAUAACUCUAUCACAUAAAGUUCAAACCUAUUGUCCAAAUGCACAAUUGAAGCUUCUACUUGGGAACAACCUUUAUCAACAUGUUUGAGGCAUUCUUGUUUAUGUGAAUCUUCUUCAACUUAGUUGCAUUUUCUUCAACCAUAUCUCUCAACCACUUGAACACCCAUUUUUGUUUUUUUUAAUUAUUUUCUUCCUUUAGGAAGUUGUACCAACUUAGUUUUUAUUUUUCUGCAAGAAAUCCAUUUUAUCUUGCAUAGAUUCUUGAAAACUCUAUGGCUUCCCCUCAUCAAUUACUAACAUGCUCUCUAGUAGACCUCUUAGCAUGGGGUAUCAAAUCUUCCUGCUCCUCAUCCUCAACUAGCUCCUGUGCAGGUAUGUCACUUGCACUAUCAUCUCUUGGUAGCUCAUCAAUUUCCUCCUCUUCAUUUCUGGGUUGCUCUAAUGAUAGAGGAAUAGGUACCCACUCAAUGAAGCCAUCACUUGUACCUUUAGAUUGAUUAGCUAUGUCAAAAUCUCCCAAGGUUUGAUCCUCUUGGAAGAUUACAUUUCUACUUCUCACCAAUUUUUUCUUAGUUGGAUCCCACCAUCUGAAUUCAAAAUCUUCAUCACCAUACCCAACUAAGACAUAUGGAAUUGUCUUAUCAUCAAGUUUGGAUCUUUGUUAUUUGGGAAUAAGCACAAAAGUUUUACAUCCAAAGACUCUUAAGUGGGAAUAGGAAACAUCUUUUCUUGUCCAUGCUUUCUCUAGAACCUCAAAGUCAAUGGACUUAAUGGAGAUUUGUUUAUCAAAUAGCAAGCAAUCUGGGAAGCUUCACCAUAAAACACCUUAGGCAACUUUGCAGUCUUCAGCAUACACCUAACCCUCUCAAUGAUGGUACGAUUCAUCAUUUCAACCAUACCAGUAUGUUGUGGAGUGCCAGGAAUUGUUUUCUCAUGCUUUAUACCAUUCUUAGUGUAGUAAGUUUCAAACUCCCUUGAGGUGUACUCACCUCAAUUAUUAGACCUACAACACUUUAAUUUUCUUCCAAUCUCUCUCUCAACCUUGGCAUGAAACUGUAGGAAAUACUGCAUGACUUGAUCUUUUGAUCUAAGCAAAUAAAUCCAUACCUUCUUGGUAGCAUCAUCAUUAAAAGUGACAAAGUACCCAUUUCCUCCAAGAGUUUUCACAUUCAUGGGGCCACAAACAUCAUAGUAUACCAACUUCAACUUCUCUAACUUCUUCUUAGAUCUACUACUAAAAGAAACCUUAUAUUGUUUUCCAACCAAACAAUAAUCACAAGAAGACAAUGAUUCAUUUUUUGCCAAGGGAAUUAAGGACUUCCUUGCCAAAACUUGCAAUCCUUUCUCACUCAUAUGCUCCAACCACAACUCCAAGGAAGUACACUUUAUAGCAUGUAACUCAUCAUUACAAACUUUCCCUUGGGUCUUGUACAAAGUGCAACAUGUUUUUCCUUUUGCAAUAACCAAUAACCUUUUAAUGAGCUUCCAUUUGCCUUUUUCCAAAAUGGUUUUCAUAACCUUGUUUGUCCAAGACAAAACCUAACAUCAAAUUAAGGCGUAAAUAUGGAACAUGUCUUACAUUUUUUAAUGUCAACUUGCACUUCAUGUUAGUUUUAAAGCAAACAUCACUCAUCCCUACAAUCUUAGAGUCACUAGAGUUUCCCAUCUUGACCGUGUCAAAGUCUCUAACUUUAUAAUCAGAAAACAACUCCAAGUGAGGAGUAGUAUGGUAGGAAGUUGCAAUGUCUAUAAUCCACUCAAUUUCUUGCUCAUCUACAUGCAAACACUCAUCUAAGAGCACUAAAACUUCAUCACUGUUAAAUACAAAUGUUGUGGUAUUCUUGUCAUCUUCUUUUUCCUGAUUUUGCUUAUUUUGUUCAUUUUUCCAAAUUCGACAAUUCCUUUUCAUAUAUCCUUUUUUUCCAAUGAAAACAUUUGAUUUUAUCUCUGGAUUAGGACAUUCCCUCAAACUUGUCAUGACUUUUCUAUCCUUUAUUCUUGUUUCUUCCUCUACUUUUUGUGAUGAGGGCCAAUUAAUUUUCUAUCUCAUAAGCCUUCCUUUUUGUCUCUUCAUUGAACAAAUUUCCCUUCACAAGCUCAAUAGACAAUGCACCAUUUAGAAUAGAGUUGUUAAUAGUCACAACAAAAGUUUCCCAACUAUCUGGUAAUGAACACAACAAUAAAGAUGUUUGCAUCUCAUCAUCCAUAACCAUUUUCAUAGCAACCAAUUGAUUAACAAUGCUCUAAAAAGCAUUCAAGUGAUCUGUCAUUAGUGUUCCUUCCUUUAACUUCAUAUUCACCAACUUCUUUAGCAAGAAAAUUUUAUUCCCAACAAUUUUUUGUUCAAACACCAAUUCCAAUUUCUUCCAAAGAUUAUAGACAUUUGUUUCAUUUGCCACAUGAUAAUGUGAGAAUGUGUCAAUCCAUUGCCUAAUAUAGACAAUUGCCUUUUUGUUCAUCUUAUUCCAUUCCAAAUCAGAAAUAUCUUUGGGCCUAGACUCUUCACCUUCAAGACUAUCUAAGAAAUCUUUGAUGGUGAGAAAAUCUUCAAUCAUGGACUUCCACAUAGCCCAAUUUGAAUUGUUAAGUUUUAUCAUGGAGGUUGGGUUUCCUUCUAUCUCUAUCCAUUUCAAGAAUAAAAGUUUCACAACCAUGGUUUGAUAUCGGAAGAUAAUCUAGAGUAUUAACCUACCAAGGUUAAAAAAUUCAUCCACAAAAAUAACAACCACUCAACAAUAAUAACCACUUCUCAAGAAUAAUAACUACUUCUCAAGAAUAAUAACUUAACAAAAAUCAAGAACAACAAUCAAGAACAUUCAACCACAAAAGAAACACCAAAUGUAAUAUGAAAAACCCUCCAAAUGUAGGUAAAAAACCACAAAGAAAAUUUUUUCCACUUCAAUACAUGGGGAUACAAUAAUUAAGUCCUUAGGUUUCUUCUCAUUGAGAACUUAUAUAAAUAUCUCAAUACUUGAGGUAAGAAUUCAUCACCCCAAGAAACAUGAAUAAAAAGAAAUCAUGAGAAAACAUAUCACAAGAAUUCUCUAAAAGAUUGAUGAAAGAAACUUGUAACUUUACCCUUGAGCCCUAGAAUGGUGCCCAAAAAAACAAACUUCUUUCAUUCUCUCAAUCAAAUGCCCUUCUCUUGAUCAAAUGUCUUUCUCUCAUAAUACCAAAACCUUAAUGCUAUUUAUAUAUCCAUAUUCGAGCUUAGGGAAUAUCCAAAUAUAAAAUAGUUUAAUAUAUGGACUCGUAGGCUGAACAAACAUAGGCUAACACUUUUUAUCCUUUUGCCCGCUCUUACCUCCGUGAAUGACACCAAUUUUUUCAUAAAUACAAUGAAUGAAUCGCGUAUAGAAGGAGAAUCUCUUUUAGAUCCCAGAAAAUUCUAGCUUAUGGAGGAGUGUGAGAGCAACCCACCUAGAACUUGUAAAGGUUUCAAACAGUGUAACGACAUUGAUGUGUAAAAGCAGAUGCCAACAACUACGAAGUCUUGCUGGACUUAGAUUUUUCUUUGCAAUUUGGCUGCUUAGUUGUAACUUGUAAGCAAUUUUUCUGUUUUUUCACUCAAAUAGUAAUUCAAUCAUGAGUCCUAAUUUUGGUAUAUUUCACAAGCAACGUCUCAUACCUGACAUGACAAAUUUAAGCCAGCCGGUUAUUUCAAUAAACAAACAUGAGAAUUUUUUUGGUUCGUAACAUCUUUGAUCCUACUGAUAUCUGCACAUAUUGCUAACCGUUGAAGACGAUACUCAUACGGCUUAUAAAAAUCUUAAUUAUUUAAUACUACCAGGUACUAUUUAAUGAUACGUUUGGCUUAGUGGAGGAUGAAGAGUAUGUGGCAGAGCUUACCAAGUUUGAAAUAGUGCUGCGUAGGGACAUGUUGUAUAUCUGUUUCUCAAUCAGACGCACAUUAAAAAAUCAUUCUUUUUCCUUGUUUUCAUUGGCGUUUGGGGCUUAUGGGCUCCGCAAUGAAACUAGUCGUGGGCUUGAUUUGGAUUCAAAAAUAAAUUGAUUUGACAGGUGAUGGAUAUGGUAGAAGUUUAAACCUCUUUCUUUCUUCCUUGAAACUCAAUAAAAAAAGAUCAUUUACCAAACCCACGUUACAUAUAUCCCAAAUAAAUCAAUAUAAAACAAUUGUUCAUACAAGUAUUUUGAUUUUAAUAAAAAUAAAUAAAUAUGACAUAUUUAAGGGGUUUUGAGUUACUUGAGUGUAUACCAAGUAGAUAAUAUCGGUUGGGGGUGUGAGAAGAGGCCAGAGAAGAUCAUGCUUAAGAUUGCCUAAUCAGAUUUUUUUGAAUCAUUGGUAUAUAGAAAUGUUGGGCUCCCUCGUAUGUGAGGGCCCCAUAUCUUACUACUUAGAUUUCAUCAAAGAGUCGAUCUUGUUUCAUAUGUGGUCCCAUCGAAUUGAAAUUUGGAGAAGAGAUUCGAAACUCGAGUAGCUACAAUCUGAGCGAUGGAGAUCGGGUACUGGUAUUACUGUCCGUGAAUAGUAACAACUUGUUUUUGGGAAUUCUUUAUCCAAUUUUCUUUGUUUUUUUUCCAAGAUAGAUUAUAUAAUCUAAGGUUAUAUGUGCUUUUAAUGUAUUUGGUAGCCUCUAUAUAAGACAUGUGUAACCCAUUAUUAUUAAUAGUGGAAGUUUGAACUGGAUCAUAUGGUUUUUCCUUUUGCAGUAGAAGAUUUUCCACGUAAAAAUUCUGGUAUAUGAUUUAUUUUUUCGUUGCAUGAGUUUAUUUAUUUAUUACUAUUAGUUGCUAUUAUUUAUUUAAUUUUACACAAAUAAAUGGUAGAAGAAUUCUGGUAUUUAUUGGAAUAUUAUGAAUUCACUCUGAUAAGAAAUAAUGUGUUUUUCAUGCAUUAUCCUUACUGUUCUAAAAAAGAGUGCAUUAAGUUAUAAUAUUUAAAUUUUUUUUAUUUCAUAUGAUAUUACUUUUUGAAAAAUAAUGUCAUAUAUCUAAAACUAGCAUCAUCUGAGAUUUUUUAUAUAUAAAAUAUCACCUUCGUAAAUUUUAAGUUUUAUGGUAUUAUUAUUUUAAAAAUGAUAUCAUAAAUAAAGACACUAUCAAUUAUUUUUAUAGCGUAUGUUUUAUAUAUCAUUAAUGUAAAAUUUUUACCAUGUCAAAUCCUAGGAAGAAAAAACUGUAAUGCUUCAAAGGGAAAAGGAAAUAUCAUUCAACACUACCACAGAAGAAACACGACCAUCUUCUUUCAUUAGUUUGAUGGAUCAUUUAUUAGACCUGACCUUCUUUGGAGUGCUGUGGAAAAAGUAACAUAAGCUACAUUAUUUUUUUUAGCACAUUUAAUGCAUUUUUUUUUCACUUAUUAGUACACUAAAACUCAAAUCCAUCGAGAGGUCGGGUACCAGCUCGCAGCCUCGCACCUGUCCAUGUUACUGUGCCAAAUAUAGGAGUAUAUUAGCAAGAAUUAAUUGGGGAUUCUUAGAAAUAUUGGUAACUCAAUAUAUCGGGUGUACGGAGGUAAGGGUUAUUUGAUUAAAAAGGUUUUUGAAAAUCCAAUUUUUGAAAUUUGACCAUCCAUCUCUUUUUUAGUCUUAUUUUAAUAAAAAUGCUCUUAUUAUUUUUCUUUUACAAAAUAAUCCUUUUUUAAAAUCCAUAAAUAUUUGAAAUGAUAAAAGAAAGUGACGUGAAAAAUGAGUUAUUUUCGAAGAAAAAACAUGGAGGGAUUAUUUAUCCUUUUAACCAAAUAUUUAUAGACUUAAUUGACCUUGUGGCCCUUAAGAGGCGGCUCCUCCGUUGGUGUCUACUUUGGAUGCCGGGCUCAGGAUCUCCCCGUGACUGCACUCUCUAAUCUUCACCUGAACGACGCUUUCCACCCCAUCUGUACCGUCGACCACCUCGCAGCAUUGUCUACGUCGUGCCUGUUGAUCAUCAUCAUACAAUCAACUUAAACAUGAGAUGAUGAAAACUUCAAUUAACCAUUUGGAUGGGCAUUGCAUACUUAAGCUAAGAUCCGAGCCCACCAGCCAAGCAACAGAAUCCACACCUGUGAAAAGAUUUAUGAUGCGGAGAGAGAAGUAGAGAGUGAGAGAUUUAUGACCUUUUCCCACGAUUCAGGCCUUAAUUGAAAAGCGGAGACGUUAAAUGAGUGAACAGCCGAGAGCGGGGCAUAGUGAGACUGGUUGCAGUCCUUUUCUGGCUGAAAGCCAAGCCUCUCAUAGGUGGUCAGGGUCUGACCAUUAAUCCCUGUCAUCUGAACCCGGUCCAAGAAGUAAAUGACGGGUCUCUCACACGGCUCCUGACUCAUGGGCCGGGUGUUGAACGUAAAGGGCUGGGAGCCCCAACUCCGCCACGUUUGAAAUGUCUGAAAGGGCGUUUCCAGCUCUUCCGUUGUCACCAACGAUGGAUACAGCUGCACGCUGUAACCCCAGGCCACUGAAACCGACCGAUUACGACUGAAAUCGUAGCAAAUGCUCUGCUGCAGUGUUCGACCCGGGUCAACCUCAUAGGCGCGGACCAGCCUCUUCAGCGAUUCAAUCUGGGUCAUGCUUGGAAACAAUGACUCCACAAAGUCAAUGUGGUGAAGAGACACCAACGGCGCCACUGGGUGUGCUGCCAGAAAACCAUAAGGAUCUCCCCGUAUAUCAACCUGUAUUUUUCAACAUUAAACUUAUUAAGGCUGUUCUUCGCUUCUGAUAAUAGCAACCUGAGAUUUCGUAAUUAGUUAUAUCAUAGCACCAAUGGUAAGAAUAUUUGCUGCAUGAAAGCAAGAAGAAGCACAAAAUGGAAAAUGACUGUGAGAUGGAAACAAGACAACAGAACCAGCAUGUGAUAUCCGAUAUCUCAUAGACUACAUAGAGAGAAAAGGAAAGAAAGAGACCUGAUGAAAACCAAGCUCUUUGGUGAGAGGCACUCCAAUCUCGCUUAUGCAACCAUGGAUCUUCUGAUCAGAGCCGUAGAAUAGAUAAUAACGGUCAAUGCACUCGUCCAAAACCCUAACAAGCUCAGUAGCCAAAGGGUAACUAAUGGCGAACCCACCGCCACCAAAGGCCAUGUUGUACGAGUGUAUCAUAUUUUGUUCCACGCUCUCAGAACUCCCACCAAUGUAAUACAUCUGGUUAUGAUCAUACCUCGCCAACACCGCCACUAAAUUCUCAGUGAAGAACACCGUAUCAUCGUCUCCCAUCACGAACCACCUCACAUUCUCCAACCCUAGUUCGAAACUCUCCUUCACGAUUCGCGCAAUACGAACUGCAGAUGCAGAACCGCUCCAACUCGGGUACUUGAAUCCCGACGUGUCUCCGGAGACUUGGUACGGUGGAGAGGUCUCCGGCCACGUUUCGUUCUCUGCAGGCUUCUCAUCGAGCCAGACAAAUCCACGUGUGACGUUAGGUUUCCACCAUAACUCACAGUAACGCCGACGUUCACUCCACGUCGCCGUCGAACCUCCGAUCCCAAACAAGAUAUGAGAAAUGUUGGUCCUUUCAUAGCCCAGUCUGCCCACAUCGCCGUCGGUUAUCUUCUGGUAAGCGGAGUGCCCAAACCGUCUAUCACAUUGCGGGCAACCAAACCAUUGCGAUUGGCUUGACAAAGAAAAGAAAGAGAUAAGAGAAAUCGAAGCGACAAUGCAAAAAAUCAGUGUUAUUUUCAUCAAAACUUUAAAGACAUCCACGGGUUUUGUUGUUGCAAUAACCAGGAAUUUCCAGGCUUUGAAGGGAUGUUGGAUAGUUUGCCUUGUGGGAGACAUGUCUUCUGCUUUUUAGCCUGAAAAACUUGCUGGUCUUACCUUGACUUUUAUACUCCAAUGCUCUCUCUUCCUCUUAAAAAGACCCAAGAUAAAUAAAUAAAUAAAAAGAAAAAAUGAAAAAAAGAAAAAAAAAAUUAGAAAGGGAAAGUGAUAAAAAGGGUUAAUUACCGGUAAAAACUUCUAUAAACAACAAAAUUUAUUAUAGUACAAUUUUACCCUUUAACAUGUUUUUCGGUAUUAUUUAUAAAUAAAUUUCUAAUGAUGAUAAGUAUAAUUAAUAGUGCAUAUCUCAUGUCCCCAAAAAUUAUUUUUCACUCUGGUCCCAAACUUGUUGUUUAACAAAAAUUUUACUUAGAAAAGUGAAAAGUAAGAUAAUUUUAUUAUUUACUUAAAUGUUAAAAUUAUCAUAAAAAUAAUCUAAUAAAUUAUGCAUUAUUAAUCUAAUUUAUUAUUUUGUAUUAUGAUAUCAAUAUGGUAUAUUUAAUAAAUUUAUCUUUUUUUUAUAAAUUCCUUUGUACAUGGGUUGAAAAAAAUUGGAAAAGUGAAAAAAAAGAAGAAGAAAUAUAUAAAUUUUUUCUCUUAUCUUAAUCUUAAUCUUUUUAUAGAAAAGUAUAGGUAAACUUGAAAUAAAUUUUUCUUUUCAAAAAUGCUAGUUACAAUAUGAUCUUAAUAUGAUUUUUACUAGGAACAUGUUCUUGUACCACAUAAAGUUAUGAAGUUUAGGAUACUUAAGGUUGGUUAAGGGAUCUUCGAUUUUAUCCUUAAUUUUUUAUGGAUCUCUUAUGAAGUGUUUCGAUAUUGAAAAAAUAUGUAUAUUAAAAAAUGGAAUUGAGAAUUUUUAAAGAACUUGAUAUAAAAAAAAAUUCAAUAUCUCUUAAAUAAAAACCACACCUAAAGAUUAUUAUGACGUUCUAUAUAUAUAACAUAUAAUUAAAAACUUUGUUAUCUUAAUAAAAUGAACAAUUAUUUUUCAUAAACGCUCAUAAAUGGAAUAACAUACAACUAUUUAUUUGUAUGAUGUCGCAUGUGAAAUUUUUUUUAUAAAUAAAUUAAAUUAUAUUGUGAUAUAUUGUAACAUUUGUGUAUUUAUAUAGUAAAUAUAAUAAUUUAUGUCCCUACCUAUAUUUUAUGAUAAAAGUAAUAAUUAUAGAAAUGCCUAUUUAUACCCUAUUCGAACAUCAUAUAAAUAUAUUCAUAUCAUUCUCUCAAUACAUUGAAAUUGUUUAAUAAUUUAUAUAUAUAUAUAACUACAAAUCUCAUAAAUUCAAAUUAAUAUUUCAUUUGGUUUUAAAAAUGAUUCCUAAUAUAAGUAUGUUAUGGAGUAUAGUAUGAUCUUAAAAAACUAUCACUUUUGUAAAAAAGUUCGAAAAUUGUCUAAUUAGAUUUUAUUAUAAUAUAUUAUAAUUAUAAUAUAUUUUUUGGUACUUGUAUUUUAUAAUAAAGGUAAUAGUCAGAGAUCUUUUUUUAUACCUCAUUGAAAUUCAACAUAUUAUACGUAUUAACAUAGUCCACUCGAUGCAUUGAAUAUAUAUAUAUAUAUAUAUAUAUAUAUAUAAGAGUUAAAGAGAAAAAAAAACACUAUACAAAGGAAAAGUAUAGGAAAAUCAUAUAAUUUUUUAAAAUUAUUUUAUUAUAUAUAUAUAUAUAAAAGAUUAAACAUUCUCCAUCAUUUUCUUUUUCUUUUUAGACAAUUCAAAUGAAAAUUAAACAUUUUAUCUUGCUUAAACUCAAUACAAAAAUAUGAUUUAUCAAUUCAAAAUUUUAAAUAUAUAUAUGAAAAAUUCAUCAUUCUCAUUACAUAAUUAUGAAACUUGUUUUGUUUUUAAUAAAAUUGAACAUUAGAAUAAAAAAAGAAAUUAGUAAAAAAAAACUUCAUUACAUGUUAUUUUGAAAUAUUUCUUAAAAGUAUUUUGGUUUUAAAUAAUAAAUUUAAAUAAAUAUAUAAUAUCGUUCAAGGUUAAAAUUAAAAUUUUGAUUUAAAAAUUCGGAUGUCAAUGAUUACAAUGAAUGUGGGACCAAAGUAACUUAGAUAUCCUAACAACAAAGGUGAAAUGUUUUCAAAAGCUUUUAGUUGAAGGACAUUUAUGGUAUUUUAGCUUAUUAUAGUAUGAAAUAGAUUUUGAAAUAAUUUUCUCUAUUUUUUCUUAUCCUCCCCAUGAAUUAUCAAAGUAGAUGACUAUUUUAUGUCAUUAUCACACACAAUCCACCUUAUAUGGUAAUUAUCCCAAUUAGAAAAUGUUUUUCCAUAAUUAGAAUUUUUAUUUUUGGUAAAAUUGAGGGCUCAAUUUCAUUUCAUCUAUAAAUUAGAAGAAAAUCUUUAAAUAAAAUAAUUUUAAACUUUCCCUUGAAAAUUUACCAAGUUCUCUACCUAUUACCCUCUCCACCUUAUUUUCCUUCAAUAUCCUAUCUUUUAACACAUUCCCUCUUUAAAAAUAUAUUUUCAUUAAUUUGUCCAUUCAUUUCAUCGUGGACACAUACAAAGGGGUAUAUACUUGCUAAAAUAUAAACACUAGCCACCCACAAUUUUCCCAAAAGAAAAUAUAAAUUUAAUUUUAGAAUUUAAAAAAAAAAAAUGACAACUAAAUAUUAUUACAAAAAAAUAAUAUUUAUUAUUAAUUACCGAUAAAGUAUUAAGAUUGAACUAAAAUUUUUAAAAUAAAAUAAAAUCUUAUUUAAUAUUCAUACUUAUUUUCUUGUUUAUUUAAUCUUUUUUCUUUUUAUACUUUUUUUUGUUAUGAUUUUGUCUUAUUAAGUUUAUCUAAAUCAUAAAAAAUAAUACUUUUAAGCUACUAUUAUUGCCAUGAGGAUUUAUUAUAUGAGACAUAAGUCCUAAGUAUAAAAGCCUUUAUUUCUAACUAUCUUAUACUUAGUUAUUUGAAAAAAAAAAAAAUUAAGAUAUUGAUUUGCUAUUUAUGAAUAUCCUCACCUCUAUUUUUAAAAGCACAUAGAAAAAUAUAAGUCUUUGACCGUAAGUUCAAAAAAUGAAACUAAGGUAUAAAUAAAUAAAAUCUAAUUAUAAGACAAUGAAACCUAAAAGCGCAUACCUCUUCCUCUUCAAAAAUAUCAAAAUUUAUAAUAAAAAUUAUUGAAUUCUUUAAAAUAAUUUUAAGGGUUUGCUACAAAAUAAGUAAAAUUAUUGAAAAUUUCUAAUUAUUUUUAUUUCUUUUAAAACUCCUUUAAAUGUUCUUGAUAAUAUUUUUUUUUAUGUAAAAUCAAAAACUUCUUUUAAAUGUUCUUAGUAUUAUGGUUGAUUAAUUUGAUACAUUUGUAUAAUUAAUAUUUGAAAUUAUUUAAUUAUUUAUUAAUAAUGAUAAUAAAUACUAUUAAUUACCUUAUAAUUUAUAAAUGAGGAUUAUAAUAUAAUAUUUUUUUCAUUCCACCCUGAAAAAAAGUCUUUGGCUCUACCACUAGACAUAAAGAUUGUAAAGAAGAAGAAACAACUUGCAAGGAUCUUUGAUGAAUUCAUUUAUUGAUUUAAUAUAAUUUAAUUUAAAAACAUUUUAAAUACUAAGUGCUCUCUAACCCCUCCAAAUUUGAGAAUAAAUAAACUAGAUUUGAAAAUAAGGAAAAUUGUUCUCAUUGUUAUUGUUUUAAAACAUUUUAAGCAUAGGUGCAACAAUGAUGACUCUUAAAACAAAUUUAUAAAAUGCAAUGUUGAAUAUUAUAAAAGAUUUGAUUUAAUAUCAAUGUGUAUUUAUUGAUUUUCAUAUGAAACGAUUGAAAUUGGAUAUGAGAAUUGGUAUUAGAGUUGUUUUUAAAUAAGAUUAAAGCUUGAUCCAAAUACUUGAACAAAUAGAACUAUUAUUUAUGAUAAACCUAAAUGUUCUUACGACAAAGUUUAGAAUCUGUAAUAUUUAUAAAUGAUUAUAGAUUUAAAAAAAAAAUAUAAGUCUUUGAAAAAAAAAUUUAUAAAUAACAUUAUUUAAACCUUAAAUAUUUUUAUAAUAAAAGUUAGAAUCUAUAAUCUUAUCUAUUUAUAUUUAAGAAAAAAUCUCAUACAUAAUUACUUGUAAUAGAUUUGAAUAAAAUCUAACUUCUUGAAUCAAUACGAUGAAAUCUACUUCAUUUAAUAAAAGUGCAAAAAUAUGGAAUUAGGUAUAAGCAAAUAAGAUUUGAACCAAAUCUUAUUGAAUCGAUAUGAUGAAAUCUAAUUCACUAAUUAAGGUGCAAAAAUAUGAAAUUAGGCAUAAACAAAUGAGACUAAGUUAUAAAACAAUGGAAAUAUGUUGGCCAAGAAAAGAUCUUCCUAAAGUAGAUUAAUAAAUGAAUUCUUUUACAUGGAUUUUUUUAAAAACUUCCAUUAUGCCAAAUGGAACUGCAUUACAAGGGAUGGUUAAUUAUUAUUUAUUAUUAAUGCUCUCACAUUCGAGAGUGGUUUGACUUAAAAUUUUAAUAAUUUGAAACAUUUUUUUAAUUAAAAAAAUUCCAACAAUAUGUACAUAUAUUGUAUGUAUAUCUAUGAAUUGAAACACGGACCCCUAAAUGGUUAUGACAGUUGAUGAGGCCACUGACUAUAAUUAAUAAUUAAUUUUUCAAUUGCUGAUUAAUUAAUUUGAUUCUUUCAAGAGAGACAGAAAAAAAUUAAAAUUUUUUAUUACAUUAACGGUACCAAUAAAAUUGGCUCUCUCUCAUAUAUGGAAUUUCAUAGAUAUCAUGGUUAAAAAAAAAAUACAAUUAAUAUUUAUAAAAUAAUGGAAUGUUGCAAAAAAUAUUUGUCAUUGUAGAGAGAAUAUAAUCCAACUAAUAAAGUGUGGGGGGGGGGGUGUGAAGAUACAACCGUGCCCCAGGCAAAUGCCAAUAAAGUAGAAAGUCAGAGGCUGACCUCUCUUUUUAUUUCUGGGAUCUUUAUAUUUCUUCCAUUUAUAAAUGUUCCAUUAAUGGGGGGGUAAAUAUUGUGUCUGAACAAUGCCUCAGAUGGAAUUUACUGCUUUCUGACCCCGUAUAUAAUGUGUCUAUAUAUAUAUAUAUAUAUGCUUGCAACUUGCAAGUUUGGCCCCAGUUUGGGCUUUCACUCCUCCGUAGUCCGUUGCAUUUAAUAGCCCAUCGAGAACUGCCCCCGUACGGCGCAGGCAAUCAACAUGCCAAUUACGAGAAUGAAUCGAGUUUGGCAAAGAGGGCCCACCGAACCGACCCAGCCCAUUUUGCAACCACCAUUAUGCAAUUGUCAUGGCACAGCAUUUGGCCGGUUGUUCGUGGUAUCUAUUGAGUACGUCUGCUUCCAUCUCUGCUUUUGACAUUUUUUUCUCAUAGAAAAAGAAAAUUUUAUUUGUUAUUCUUCCACCAAAACACAUAGUUUGUGCAUGUGGUUGUGGGUCAUUGAGUUUGGUGCAGGUGCGGGAAUCUGACCUAUUGAAAAGAGAAAAAUGCCUGAAAAAAGAGAAGGAAAUUCCCAUGUGUCGGCUUUUAAAUGUACUACAAAGUCAACCAUUUUCAAGCUCAUGAAACUCAUCAUUUACAAACAAAUAAAUAAAAAUAAAAUACCUUCUUUGAUUAUAAUCGUACUACAAUAAAUAGUCAAUAAUAAUAAUUAAAAGUCAAAUUAGGGUAAAACCAAUUGCAUCCAACAAAAUUCUUGAAAAGCAAGGCCAAACUAAACCAAGAGCUAAAUGGUCUACUCUCUCAAGUUUUCUUUGAAUGACAAAAGUUAUAUGCAUUAUAAUGUCACUAUUCUAAGUACAACAUUUGCUAACAUGCCAAAAUGGUAUUUAUCGUAAAAAAAUAUUUGAAUCAUUGAAAUAUAUAAUGAGAUUCAAAGCUAUUAAAUGAUAAGAUAAGAAAUGGGACAAAAAAAUACAAAUAAAUGAAAUCACGAUAUAAAGAUACAAAUAAAUGAAAUCAAUAUAUAAAUAAUGAGAUAAAAAAUUGUAUAUGUGAUACCAUUUGAUUGGUGGUGUCUUUUUUAUAGGCACCGAGAAUCUAAGGUAGCUACAAUUCCAUAGCUAAACCCUCCAAGUAUAUAAUUUGUUAUGAAGUAUAACUAAGCCCAACAUGAUGCUAGUGGUUAUGGUACGAGGAAAGCAUCCUUAUUAAAGCAUUCUCUUAUAAAUGAUACUCAACUAGCCCACUUUGUUGUGUUCCAUUGAAAACAAACCAAUCCUUCUAUAUAUGUGCUUUUUCAUAGCAUUAGACAUUAUUCCUUGCUGUCUAUGCAGCAGAAAUGAGCCCAUCUUGUUUAAUUUCCUUAACAUAGACUUAUUAUUUAGGGUUUGGAUAAGCUCAUACAUUGAAAUGCAAGGAAGUUUGCAAUCGAAUGAUUCAUUAAUUCCAAUGGGAUGUUGUAAAACACUAAUCAGUUAAGCCUCUUUCUUGAUGAUUAUUCUGUCAUCCUGUAUAAUUUAACCAUAUAUGUAGAACCCAUCCCAUUGGCAGUAGUUGGAAUAGGAUUCAAUCAUCCUUUUAAGGUUUCAGGAGUGAUUUUCUUUUUCUUUAUUGUUCCCACAAAGCAUGAAGAUUUUCUUUUUUAGGCAAAUCCCUCAAAAACCAGAUUAGAAAACCAAUCUGAAACAUUGGUUUCUCAUAUGAUGUUAAAUUCAUGAUCUCUAAAUAAGCUUCAAACGGCAAAGAUAAGGAUCAAAGCAUCACCAACAGGGAGGGAAAGAAUGAGUGGAGACUCAAUACAUAAACAUGAAUUUCUUGGAAAAAGACUUGAAUAAAUACGAAGAACUAAGCAAAAGCGACUUCCUUUUUCUACUCAUGCAUCAGUUGCACUAGAAGUUUAUAGGAAAAGCAUAGACUAUUUUCCUUCAUGUUAUUCCCUUUAGAAGACGGCUGUUAUUAUAUCUCUUUGAACAUAAAGUAGUAGAAGAAAAGGAUGAGAAGAAAACCUAUUCAUUAAAUCACAUCCACCCUAUUCUCUGCAAAUUCAAAAGAACUCUCUGGAUCCGGAUGCAGAUGUCUCAUGGGGUUCUGGCCCUAAACGAAGCUCCAGGUCCAAUUCUUUCUGAGAUGAACCAUGAUGACUGUGCCUUGUCUUCUCCUCAUGCCCGCCAGCAGAACUUGCCCUUUGAUCAUUGCCCUUUGAUGGCUUCUCAGAAAACAAGGACAGCUGGUGCAGUUUUUCCAUGCCAUCUUUCCCUGAAGGACUGAUAUCGUCUUCUCCAGACAAGGUCAAUGGCCUUUUAAGUGUGCAAUCUUUGCCUUCCGUUGAUCCCAGUUGAGAUAAGUUGUCUGCAGAUGGCUGAGGAUGGAUUAAGGGAUUCUUCUUUUCCAUGUCCACAGAGAGUAGGCUUUCAUCUUCGGUUUGUUUGAGCUUGGCCCUGUCUUUCCUAUGGAUAUUCAUGUGACCUCCUAGGGCUUGUGCAUUUGAGAAGCCUCUCUUGCAGAAGGUACAUGUAUAAGCCCGAACUUGCUCCCCUGAACCCUGCUCAUCUAAGUUGCAUGAUAUUUGCUCGAACUUUUCUACACUUGGGGGAUUAAUCUCCAUUUUCCAAGACAGUGUGUGUGUGAGAAAGAGAGAGACAGGAGAAAGAGAGAG